UCUCCGUAGGUGAACCUGCGGAGGGAUCAUUACUGAGUGAGGGUUUAACCGCCCGACCUCCAACCCUUUUGUGAACCACCUCGUUGCUUCGGGGGCGACCCUGCCUUUCGGCGCGGCGCCCCCGGAGGCUCAUCAAACACUGCAUCUUUGCGUCGGAGUCUUAAUGAAUUUAAACAAAACUUUUAACAACGGAUCUCUUGGUUCUGGCAUCGAUGAAGAACGCAGC
rnacentral:misc_RNA from 1 species